rnacentral:piRNA from 2 species
GACUUGUUGGGGAAACUUUAGUAAGGGU